GUUAGACAGUUGAGGGAGGUUUCAAAUGAAGCGCAUAAUGCAGAACUCAACUUAUUCUUGGAAGUGAAGCUUGGGCCGAAUUUGCAUCUCGUUCUUCCACCGAACAAGACAAAAUACGGUAUUAUGCGUUUCUUCAAGCUAUAUGUCCCGGAGGAAGAAAAGUUCUGGUAUGCUGGAAUUCUUUUUGUCAAGCGUAUUAGUAAGCCUGUGGAUAUCCUAGAAAAACUAAAUGAAAUGGCUGGCUUCGCUUCUAAUGAAGAAAUCGAUCUUUAUGAGGAAAUUAUGUUUGAACCUAGUGUCAAGUGUAAACACAUUGACAAGAAACGCACUUUUCGAUCUAGC